rnacentral:rRNA from 1 species
AUGGGGAGGGGAAGGGUUGAGCUGAAGCGUAUCGAGAACAAGAUCAACCGGCAGGUCACCUUCUCCAAGCGCCGCAACGGCCUGCUCAAGAAGGCCUACGAGCUCUCCGUGCUCUGCGACGCCGAGGUGGCGCUCAUCAUCUUCUCCAGCCGCGGCAAGCUCUACGAGUUCGGCAGCGCCGGCACAACAAAAACAUUGGAAAGAUACCAACACUGCUGCUAUAAUGCUCAAGAUUCCAAUGGGGCACUAUCUGAAACUCAGAGCUGGUACCAGGAAAUGUCAAAGCUAAAGGCAAAAUUCGAAGCGUUGCAGCGAACUCAGAGACACUUGCUUGGGGAGGACCUUGGACCGCUCAGCGUGAAAGAACUGCAGCAGCUGGAGAAACAGCUAGAAUGUUCUCUGUCACUGGCCAGACAGCGAAAGACACAACUUAUGAUGGAGCAGGUGGAGGAACUUUGCAGGAAGGAGCGUCAGCUGGGAGACAUCAACAGGCAACUCAAGCACAAGCUCGAUGCUGAAGGCAGCAACAGCAACAACUACAGGGCCAUGCAGCAGAUCUCCUGGGCUGCCGGCACCGUCGUGGACGAGGGCGCCGCCGCAUAUCACAUGCAGCAGCAUCAGCAACACCCUAAUCAUUCCGCUGCUAUGGACUGUGAACCCACUCUGCAAAUUGGGUACCUACGAUCGAGCACCUUGCAUACACCUGUUCCGUCUUCCAUCCAUGCAACUGAACUGACAUUAUAUAUGCCGCAGGUACCAUCAUCAGUUCACGGCUCCUGA